GAACGGGUGAGUAACACGUGGGCAAUCUGCCCUGCACUCUGGGACAAGCCCUGGAAACGGGGUCUAAUACCGGAUACUGAUCAUCUUGGGCAUCCUUGGUGAUCGAAAGCUCCGGCGGUGCAGGAUGAGCCCGCGGCCUAUCAGCUUGUUGGUGAGGUAAUGGCUCACCAAGGCGACGACGGGUAGCCGGCCUGAGAGGGCGACCGGCCACACUGGGACUGAGACACGGCCCARACUCCUACGGGAGGCAGCAGUGGGGAUAUUGCAMAUGGGCGAAAGCCUGAUGCAGCGACSCCSCGKGAGGAUGACSGSCCUYCGGUUGUAACCUYCUUCMSCAGGAAGAAGCGAAGKGACGGUMCUGMRARAA
rnacentral:rRNA from 1 species